GAUGAACGCUGGCGGCGUGCCUAAUACAUGCAAGUCGAACGCAUUGAGAGAAGUGCUUGCACUUUUCAAUUUGAGUGGCGAACGGGUGAGUAACACGUGGGCAACCUACCUGAUAGCGGGGGAUAACGAGUGGAAACAUUCGCUAAUACCGCAUAACAAUAGAGAAGGCAUCUUCUGUAUUUGAAAGGCGCUUUCAAGCGUCACUAUCAGCUGGGCCCGCGGUGCAUUAGUUAGUUGGUGGGGUGAAGGCCUACCAAGACGAUGAUGCAUAGCCGAGUUGAGAGACUGAGCGGCCACAUUGGGAGCGAGACACGGCCCAAACUCCUACGGGAGGCUGCAGUAGGGAAUCUUACACAAUGGACGAAAGUCUGAUGGAGCAACGCCGCGUGUGUGAUGAAGGCUUUCGGGUCGUAAAGCACUGUUGUAUGGGAAGAAAUGCUAGGCUAGGAAAUGAGCUUAGUUUGACGGUACCAUACCAGAAAGGGACGGCUAAAUACGUGCCAGCCGCCGCAGUAA
rnacentral:rRNA from 1 species